GAAAUUUAGUCUCAAUGACUAUGAUUUUUUUAAAAAAUCUUGAUUUGGAGUAAUACCAUGCAUUUUAAUAUACAGGUGUAGAAUACAUGUUCCAGAUAGUGUGCUGCAAUGGUUAUUUUUCAUGUGAACACACACACGUUUUCUUAGGUUAUAGUGUCAGUUUGGGUCCCCUGAGAUGCAAAAGCCAGGCUAACAUUAGAUGAUCAAAAGAAUCUUGAGGAAACACCUGUGAAGGUGAAGCAGGCAGCAGAAGACACAAAGAACCUUCAGAACACAAUUCAACCCUGAUAGCUGUUGAAAUAAGAGAAAAAAGAAAGAAAUGGGAAUCAGUGCCUUGGGUUACAAUACAGGUCUCUGAAUAUUUUGGACCAACCAAUUAGUGGAGAGUUUGAAGCAGAAGUUCAUUCAAGGAAUUCCAUUGUGUGUAUUGCUGGACUCUGUAAUCUCCUCCCUUGCCACAAAUAAAUUAAAAUUAUGAACAAAUAUGUUUCUUCAAGAGCUCAUCUGAAAAAAAAUGUUGGCGUGACUACAUAAGAAUCACCUAAGACUGUUUGCCGCUGCUUGCAUCUCCUCCGUUCAAACACAGGGGUAAUGUAUAUUUGACAAAUGUACAAGACUUUUUUGUCUAAGAAAAAAGGAAAAUAAAACUCUUUCUCCAAAAGGAAGAAAAAAAUUGGCAUCAGAAAAUAACAUUUUGCUGUGACUACAUAUUCAAAAUGGAAAUGAAGUUAUUAGCUUAUUCAGGACAAGAACUUGGAACUUAUUGAGCUGUGGGCGGCUGGAUUGAAAGAGCUGUAACACACUCCUGCUCGCCAGACUACAAGAGAGAGCUAUAACAUGCUCUGGGUGAGCUACGAGAGUGAAGAGCUGCAACUUUUCUUGGGGGUUCAAACCUUGGGACUCCCCAAGCAAGAGCUGUAACACCCCUUGGGGCUCGGCGAUUGCUGAUUGCUGGCAUCUCUGAGGUUUUGGGCACCAACACCUUCCCCUAUUUUAGACUCUGCCCUGUGCAGAAGCCACUCAAAGCAUGCCUGAUUCAGCCUCAAGCUGAGCAUAGAGCCAAGGCAGUCAAGGGAUCCGGCCCAGGGAGUGAACUGACUGCAGGCUGCUGGGCUGAGCAGACAGAGCAAGUCCAGGUGGCCCUAGAAAGGCCAGGGCAGAGGCAGUGGCGGCCACAGAGAUUUCCAGCUGGCAAAGUGGCACCAAAGGAAUCCUGUAACAAUAUGAGACCCACCAUAGUCAUCUUUUCUUUUCUUUUCUUUUCUUUUUUCUUUUGUUUUCUUCUUAUCUGCCAGGACAAUUGGGCAUGAUACAGAUGAGGGCUGUUCUAUCGUUUUUUUGUUACAGAGUAAUGAUGACAGAGAAAAGAGUCAGCUGACCAACAAUGAAAACACAGCCAGGGCAGAAAAUAAACCUUUGUGGCAAGUGACUGAAUUUUGUUGUUAUUACAGAAGUAUUGCCUAAUAACUUCCAACUAAAACAAUACUGCAGAUAUGAUUCUUCUGAUUUAUGACUUUUGCCUGAACGAUAUUAUGGUUGUUUAAAAUAAUUCACUUGGGGGACACGUGCAGUCAUUAUAUAAAAGCAAGUUGUGUAUAGAGAUCUCAUUUUGUGACAUAAUAGUUGCAUAAAAUGAGAAAACUCUAAAAGUUUUGUUAUACUGUACUCAGUUUCAUAAUCGUAAAUAAAUAAUGUUUUUCACAAUGUUAUUGUUAUGAUGAUGGAAGAUAAUUAAUUAUUUUCUUGUAUAUAGAAACACCUAACCACAUUAGGCAAUACAGUAAAGCCUACUGAAUAUGUCAAAAUAAGUACUUCUUAUUUGUCACCAACCAUCUAUUUGAAUAAAUAUGGCCAGUCAUGAAACAGAUAAAUUGAAAUAUCAUGAAUAUUACUGCAUACAAUAUUUGUUACAUAUUUCAUCCUGUUUUUCCACAAAGGUAUAAACUAAUAUAAAUCUGGCACAGUCAAUACAUUUUCUCAAAUGUUAAAGUAUUUAUUUAUCCUUGUAGAGCAUUUGAAUAUAAAGUUCCUUCUCAUUUCCUGAGUUCUUCACUAUGAUGCAUUUACAAAACAAUUACUGUCAAAAGCUUCAUCUGACAAGAGUGACUUGGAGUGGUAAAAUUCUGCUACAAUAUUUAUUUAAUGAUCUCUGACACCUACUCAGAGCAAGUGUUUUGGAAUAUCCCAACACUUGCUUUUGAAUCUCCCAGACUGAAGUCUGACACUUAUU